UACGUAGGGGGCUAGCGUUGUCCGGAAUCAUUGGGCGUAAAGCGCGUGUAGGCGGCCCGGUAAGUCCGCUGUGAAAGUCGGGGGCUCAACCCUCGGAGGCCGGUGGAUACUGUCGGGCUGAAGUACGGAAGAGGCGAGUGGAAUUCCUGGUGUAGCGGUGAAAUGCGCAGAUAUCAGGAGGAACACCUAUUGCGAAGGCAGCUCGCUGGGACGUUACUGACGCUGAGACGCGAAAGCGUGGGGAGCAAACAGG
rnacentral:rRNA from 1 species